UACGUAGGGACCAAGCGUUGUUCGGAUUAACUGGGCGUAAAGGGCGCGUAGGCGGCGUGUUAAGUCAGCUGUGAAAUCUCUGAGCUCAACUCAGAACGGCCAGCUGAUACUGAUGUGCUAGAGUGCAGAAGGGGCAAUCGGAAUUCUUGGUGUAGCGGUGAAAUGCGUAGAUAUCAAGAGGAACACCUGAGGUGAAGACGGGUUGCUAGGCUGACACUGACGCUGAGGCGCGAAAGCCAGGGGAGCAAACGGG
rnacentral:rRNA from 1 species